UGCUCUUCAACGAGGAAUCCCUAGUAAGCACAAGUCAUCAGCUUGUGCUGAUUACGUCCCUGCCCUUUGUACACACCGCCCGUCGCUACUACCGAUUGAAUGGCUUAGUGAGGCCCUCGAAUCGACUCUCGAAGACUGGCAACCAGUUUUCGUCUGUUGAGAAGUUGGUCAAACUUGGUCAUUUAGAGGAAGUAAAAGUCGUAACAAGGUUUCCGUAGGUGAACCUGCGGAAGGAUCAUUACUGAUUUGGCGAACCGAGCGUUAAGCGAGGUUCUGCGAUCACUUUGUAUUUAAAACCCACACUUUUUAAAUGUAUAUUUUUUAUUAAAUGAAUAAAAAUUAAAGAUCACUUUCAACAACGGAUCUCUUGGCUCUCGCAUCGAUGAAGAACGUAGCGAAGUGCGAUAAGUAAUGUGAAUUGCAGUAUUCCGUGAAUCAUCGAAUCUUUGAACGCAAAUUGCACUCUCUGGUAUUCCGGAGAGUAUGCCUGUUUGAGGGUCAGUUAAAUAAAAAUCGGGGUUUGUUGCCGCCUUUCGUGGUGACGCUUCGGAAUUGGGUCGUCUUUGCCUUCGGUUAAAAAAGUGACCUAAAAUUUCGUAUGAUUUUUCGAACGUAUUUAAAUUAUUUUACGUACGUUUGUGAUAUCGAAUAUAUUAGGUGUGGUCAUUUUCGUGAUUCCCGCCUAUAAUUUUUUCAUCUAUUGACCUCAAAUCAGGUAAGAGUACCCGCUGAACUUAAGCAUAUCAAUAAGCGGAGGAAAAGAAAAUAACAAUGAUUCCCUUAGUAACGGCGAGUGAAGGGGGAAAAGCUCAAAUUUUAAAUCUGCCAGGUUAUACCUAUCAGAGUUGUAUUUUGAAGAAGUGUUUUCCGUGUCUCGGUUUGUCCAAGUCCUUUGGGAUAAGGCGUCAUGGAGGGUUAGAAUCCCGUCCGACUGACCUUUUGACACUUUACGAUACACUUUCAAAGAGUCGAGUUGUUUGGGAUUGCAGCUCCAAAUGGGAGGUAAAUUUCUCCUAAGGCUAAAUAUUGGCGAGAGACCGAUAGCGAACAAGUACCGUGAGGGAAAGAUGAAAAGAACUUUGAAAAGAGAGUAAAAUAGUACGUGAAAUUGUUGAAAGGGAAACGAUUGAAGUCAGUCGUACCGAUGAGAAUUCAACUCUUCGAGUGCUCACUUGUGGGCGUGCGUGAGCCUUAAAACCUCGCUGUUUGCAAUGUUUGUGCUUUUUGGGUGUAAUUUUUCGUAUGGUAGGCCAACGUCAGUUUCGUUUACCAUAAAAUGAUCGGAGGAAAGUAGCUUCGAUCUUGUAUUGAAGUGUUAUAGCCCCUUGUAGAUGUGGUAAACGAAACUGAGGAUUGCAACGAAUACCCUUUGGGCUAUCCGUUUGGCCUUUGAAAGUUGCUUAGGUGCCGAAAGCAUGCUUACGGUUAUUUAAGUUCCCGGUCAAUAGGUUAGAACGUGAUUACCUUCGUUAAGGACGUUGGGGUAAUGGCUUUAAACGACCCGUCUUGAAACCCGGACCAAGGAGUUUAACAUAUAUGCGAGUGUUA
rnacentral:rRNA from 1 species